GAUGAAGAACGCAGCGAAACGCGAUAUGUAAUGUGAAUUGCAGAAUUCAGUGAAUCAUCGAAUCUUUGAACGCACAUGGCGCCUUCCAGUAUCCUGGGAGGCAUGCCUGUCCGAGCGUCGUUUCAACCCUCGAGCCCCCGUGGCCCGGCGUUGGGGAUCUGCCCAGGCAGUCCCCGAAAACCAGUGGCGGACCCGUUACAGGCCCUUCCCUUGCGUAGUAGCAUUCGCCUCGCAUCGGGAGCCAGCAGGCUUCCAGCCUCUAAACCCCCAUCAAGUCCGCCCCGGCGGCACCAAGGUUGACCUCGGAUCAGGUAGGAAUACCCGCUGAACUUAAGCAUAUCAAUAAGCGGAGGA
rnacentral:misc_RNA from 1 species